CGCUCGCUAUCUCUCUCGCCUUCUCUUUCCUUAGCAGUGAGUCUGUAAGAAGAAUCUGAUAAUCGGGUCACAUUUCACUCCAGGUCCGCCGUCCGUCCGUACCCGAAAGGGAAGUCCUCCGUUAAAGUGUGAAAAAAAAUCCUAUUUUUAAUCAGCACAGCAGACGGCUAUGAUCGGCAUGAGAGAUCUGGCGUACCUCCUUGUCCCAAUACUGAUAUUGGUGAGGUCCUCCAUGCAAGGAGAAGUGAAAAGUGGGAAAGAGGCGGAAAAUGCAGGGAAUUUCAUGGAAGAUGAGCAAUGGCUGUCCACCAUAUCGCAAUACAGCCGCAAGAUCAAACACUGGAAUCGCUUCAGAGACGAUGAUUACAUCCGAACUCUGGAUGAAAACCAAGGCUCUGAAGAAAGCGUAGACACCACCAAGGACCCCUGCCAGAAGGUGAAAUGCAGCCGACACAAGGUGUGCGUGGCCCAGGGCUACCAGCGAGCCAUGUGCAUCAACCGCAAAAAGCUGGAGCACAGGAUCAGGCAGCCCGCGACCAAGCCGCACGACGGCGGCUGCAAGCCAUGUCUAGCCGCGGCCUCCGCCCCCGUGUGCGGCUCCGACGGUCACAACUACGCCUCUCAGUGUAAGCUGGAGCAGCAGGCCUGCCUGACAGGGAAGGAGCUGAGUGUGAAGUGCCCUGGCCAAUGCCCCUGUGCCCCCGGGGGCACACCCACUCCUGACCCCGAGGCCAAACAUGAGAGCUGCACGGGGCAGGACCUCGCUGACCUGGGAGACCGCCUGAGGGACUGGUUCCAGCUUCUGCAUGGAAACGCCAAGCAGAACAACUCCGGCAAGCUUGGAAGCAGCACCGCAUCGGUCCUGGAUAAGAGCCUGGUGGCAAGCUGCAAGGACUCCAUUGGCUGGAUGUUCUCCAAGCUGGACACAAACGGAGACUUGUACCUGGACCAGCCGGAGCUUGCCGCCAUCAAUCUGGACAAGUACGAGAUCUGCAUUCGGGCUUUCUUCAACUCGUGCGACACCUAUAAGGAUGGCAAGGUGUCCACCGCCGAAUGGUGCCUCUGCUUCUGGAGGGAAAAGCCCCCGUGCCUGGCGGAGCUGGAGAAGAUGCAAGUGCAGGAGGUGAUGAAGAAGAAGCCUGGUGAGUAUCGGGGGUCUGGUGGGGGUGUUAGGGAGUGCCCACUGUCAUUUUUAAAGAUUAGUGUUCGUGUUGUAUGUUGUUUACAAGCAACAUAUAAAUAUGAAUGCUGUGGUAUGAUGUAAUGCAGUGGGAGGCAUGAGGAUGUGUAUAAGUGUGGGUGUAAAGCGGAGGGAGGUGUGAGGGUGUGUAUAAGCGUGGGUGUAAAGCAGAGGGAGGUGUGAGGGUGUGUAUAAGCGUGGGUGUAAAACGGAGGGAGGUGUGAGGGUGUGUAUAAGCGUGGGUGUAAAGCGGAGGGAGGUGUGAGGGUGUGUAUAAGCGUGGGUGUAAAGCGGAGGGAGGUGUGAGGGUGUGUAUAAGCGUGGGUGUAAAGCGGAGGGAGGUGUGAGGGUGUGUAUAAGCGUGGGUGUAAAGCGGAGGGAGGUGUGAGGGUGUGUAUAAGCGUGGGUGUAAAGCGGAGGGAGGUGUGAGGGUGUGUAUAAGCGUGGGUGUAAAGCGGAGGGAGGUGUGAGGGUGUGUAUAAGCGUGGGUGUAAAGCGGAGGGAGGUGUGAGGGUGUGUAUAAGCGUGGGUGUAAAGCGGAGGGAGGUGUGAGGGUGUGUAUAAGCGUGGGUGUAAAGCGGAGGGAGGUGUGAGGGUGUGUAUAAGCGUGGGUGUAAAGCGGAGGGAGGUGUGAGGGUGUGUAUAAGUCUGGGAGUGUGAGAAUAUCAUCCUGUACGUCAGGCUGGGUCCACUCCGGUGGGUCUGGCAGGACUCGCAGAAGCUCAUUAUCCGGACGACAAGCGCGAGCCCCGGAUUACUGCGUAAUCAGGCCAGGGGAUUAUAGGGCAGCGCUGGCAGCGGGCCGAGCCAGCGAGCGGAUCCGGCUGCCCGGAGUCCCUGAGGAACAGCGCAGGUGCGCGGUGAGAAGCGGGACCUCGAUAUCCGCGCCAUGCUCAUUACGUGGCUGCAAAACAAGGGAGCUGCCUCGCCUGGAGGAGGUGUAGUCACCCCCACUGCGGGUAUCAGAGGGGCGGCUGAGCCUCUCCCUUAUUCACGAGUGGCGAGGGCAUGAGGGGGCGCAGAGAGGAAUGGAAUAAACACUGCGUCGCUACGGCAGAGGGCAUGAAGAGGACGAUGCUGUCCGAGGGCGUCGCUGCUUCAGUGUGACGCCCUAAAGGCCGUACCGCCACCUCACUCUCUGGAACGUCCCCAGGUUGCCUCACAACAUCCACGCCGUCCAAUAAAAGCACCUCCAGCUGCGCCACCGCCCCCUCCCCCAAGAACCUGACAAGCCCGAUUCUU